rnacentral:rRNA from 1 species
AACGAACGCUGGCGGCAGGCUUAACACAUGCAAGUCGAGCGAGACCUUCGGGUCUAGCGGCGGACGGGUGAGUAACCCGUGGGAACGUGCCCUUCUCUACGGAAUAGCCCCGGGAAACUGGGAGUAAUACCGUAUACGCCCUUUGGGGGAAAGAUUUAUCGGAGAAGGAUCGGCCCGCGUUGGAUUAGGUAGUUGGUGGGGUAAUGGCCCACCAAGCCGACGAUCCAUAGCUGGUUUGAGAGGAUGAUCAGCCACACUGGGACUGAGACACGGCCCAGACUCCUACGGGAGGCAGCAGUGGGGAAUCUUAGACAAUGGGGGCAACCCUGAUCUAGCCAUGCCGCGUGAGUGAUGAAGGCCUUAGGGUUGUAAAGCUCUUUCAGCUGGGAAGAUAAUGACGGUACCAGCAGAAGAAGCCCCGGCUAACUCCGUG